rnacentral:rRNA from 1 species
AGGAUGAACGCUGGCGGCGUGCCUAAUACAUGCAAGUCGAGCGGUAAGGCCACUUCGGUGGUACACGAGCGGCGGACGGCUGAGUAACACGUAGGAACGUACCCAAAGUGAGGCAUAAGCACCAGAAAUGGUGUCUAAUACCGCAUGUGGCCUAACAGGCUAAAGCUCCGGCGCUUUGGGAACGGCCUGCGCAUGAUUAGCUUGUUGGUGAGGUAAAAGCUCACCAAGGCAGUGAUCAUUAGCUGGUCUGAGAGGAUGACCAGCCAGACUGGGACUGAGAACGGCCCAGACUCCUACGGGAGGCAGCAGUAGGGAAUUUUCCACAAUGGGCGAAAGCCUGAUGGAGCAACGCCGCGUGCAGGAUGAAGGCUCUAGGGUCGUAAACUGCUUUUAUCUGUGACGAAUAUGACGGUAGCAGAUGAAUAAGGAUCGGCUAACUCCGUGCCAGCAGCCGC